rnacentral:lncRNA from 1 species
GGGGAGAGAGACCUGGCCCACGAGCACACGCAACUAGGACCAAGUGUCCUGCAAAGGAAGAAAACAGACAUACAGGCACGCGCGGCCAGAGACCAGAUGUCUUGCAAAGGGAGCGACUCAGCUAGCUUUGGGUACACUGGGCCAGCUCAAAACCGGCUAGCAGAUACGACCCAGGCAGGCGUUAUGAAGGAUUUAGGGGCCAGGCCGGCGCAACCUUCGCCACAAACUCGGUCUCCCGCCCACCCCACCGCCGCUGCCUGUGACCAGGGGGCGCUCCCCGACCCAAUCAUCAGAGUAUCACUGCUCAGAUCAGACAGGCCUGCAGCUGGGCUCUUGGACUAGAGUUUAGAAACUGCUAGGUGACUGCUGGAGUUGGGCAUGAAUAUAAUCCAGUACUUGGAGGCAGAAUAAGGAAGAUCAAGAGUUCAAGGAGGUUUGAGAGUGGGGGCAGGAGAAGAGAGAA